rnacentral:rRNA from 1 species
AUUGAACGCUGGCGGCAUGCUUUACACAUGCAAGUCGAACGGCAGCGCGGGCUUCGGCCUGGCGGCGAGUGGCGAACGGGUGAGUAAUACAUCGGAACGUGCCCAGUAGUGGGGGAUAGCUCGGCGAAAGCCGGAUUAAUACCGCAUACGACCUGAGGGUGAAAGCGGGGAAUCUUCGGACCUCGCGCUAUUGGAGCGGCCGAUGGCAGAUUAGCUAGUUGGUGGGGUAAAGGCCUACCAAGGCGACGAUCUGUAGCUGGUCUGAGAGGACGACCAGCCACACUGGGACUGCGACACGGCCCAGACUCCUACGGGAGGCAGCAGUGGGGAAUUUUGGACAAUGGGCGAAAGCCUGAUCCAGCAAUGCCGCGUGUGUGAUGAAGGCCUUCGGGUUGUAAAGCACUUUUGGCGGGAACGAAAAGGACUGUGCCAAUACCACGGUUCGAUGACGGUACCCGCAGAAUAAGCACCGGCUAACUACGUG